CUCUCUUUGCCUGCUGCCAUCCACGUGACUUUCUCCUCCGUGCCUUCUGUCAUGAUUGUGAGGUCUCCCCAGCCACAUGGAACUGGUAAUACUGCACCUUCAAUUGACUUAUGAAGAAACUAGCUCAGAUUGGAACAACAGCCAGGACAGUCACCACCAAGGGGACUUGCCCCACUGGAGAAGGCAAGUCUGACCCCCUACCCCACCGCGGUCAACCCAGGGACGGAGGAGAGAACGCCGCAUGCCAUUGUUCUUAUGUAUAAAGCACAGGUUACAGGUUAUUUCUGAAGAUGUCUGCUCAAGUGGAGAUGCUACCAGGUUUUUACCAAUCAUUACUUUGGAUAAAAGUUUAGCAAAUAUUUA
ensembl:lncRNA novel transcript, antisense to ABCC4